rnacentral:lncRNA from 1 species
GAUUGUCCUCUCAUCAGCUCUCCUCUAGCACUGUUGCUAAUCAACCAAGCGGUAAUCGGGAACACCUGGUGGUGGAAUUGGGAAAUCCUGCAAAGGCAGAGCAUCUCAUGCACUUCGGAGGGCCCUUCGUGCACUUCUGACACCUGGCCUUCGAAGUCUGUGGCCUUCAAAGUGUGCGCACUUAACUUUGGGACACUUUGGGAGCAUCCACUACAGACCACGCUUUCAUUUCACUUGAAGUCCACACCCCGAAAGUGAAUCAGCUCUUACGUCAGACGUCUCACUCUGCUCAACACAACAGUUGAAUCGACGGCAGUUUCCUAUCUUACAGGCAGUAUCCUGCUAGACAAAAGACUGACCAUGUAUGCAAUUGUUACUCUGCAAGACUCAGAUGAGGUGGUGGUGGCACCAACAAACUGGCUGAGCCUAGACAAGAAACAAUGUUACUGGCCCCCAUUCAAAUCACCAGACAAGUGCAUGGAAGCUGUUCAGAACAGAAUUAAACCUGAAACAGGAGGGAAACCAUGGGAGAAACUGAACAUCAGCUUUCACGGAGAACAUGUCACUUUUGAGAAGGCAAAAGAGGGGCAAAAAGAAACCAAAGAGCAGAAAGAACGGUCUUAUCUAUUAGCCACUGGAUUCCCUGGAAUACUAAAAAGACAACGACUUGAAUGCAAUCAAGAAAUGUUAAAACAACAACUUCUUCCUGAACCAUCUGCAUCUACAUCCAGAAUGCCGGCUGAUGACAAGGAUGAGCUCCUCCAAAUGCUGAGAGACAUCAAGAGCACGGUUCAGGAAAACUCUGCUAUGCUAAAGAAACUAUUAAAAGACAAUACAGUUUCUGAGGUCCCUAGCAGUACCAGCAUUCCUCCUAAAGAUGUUAAAACAAAGCUAAAACUGCCUCUUAGAACCAUUAAAGAUGUUGCCAGGAUUGAAAGAAUGCUCACAAAGAAUGCAACAACACACGAAAAAUAUGUAAGAUGUUUGUCAAGACUUGGAGGUUUUGGGCAAAAGGAUGUGAUUAAGAAUAUAAUGCAGCAUCUCCUAACAGAUGAUCUGGCCUCGAAGUUUAACUGGCAGGGGAGGGGAAAUAAAAAGCCUUUCUCUAAGCUUAUUUUAACAGAUGUGAUCAGAGAUGCUGCAUUAAAACAAAGUGUUACGAGGAUAGACUGUGAUGCUGAAAUUAAAAAUUAUUUGUGGUCCAUAUGUGAUCGAAUCGGUCGGGGUAGACCAUGAGAUUGUGUAGGUUUGACUUCAGAUGUGACUUCUGCCAUGCUGCUGGACAGUAGCUUCCAGUCAGUGACCGGAAUGUCUUUUGACUAUAUUUGAGUUUUGGAACAUUUAUUCAUAGGUCACUUAAGCUUAACUGCCUACACAUUAGACAUUAAUUUUGUAAAGAACAAUACAGUAUGUAUACUAAUCUAGCUAGCCACUUUGUACUUCAAAUAUUGGGUCUUGACAUAAAAUGCUUAUAACACUCAUAAUUUUUAAUCAAUGUUAAUGUAAUUAUAUAUAUAUAUAUAGACGGUUUCAUCGGGCGCACGCGCCUGGACCUAAGUUAACUUCCGGUCUGUGUUGUGUAUAUCGGUCUGGCUGCAUUGCCUUCUACAAACGCAGUUAAAGCCAAGGUGAUGAGUAGACUGAAGUUGGGCUCAGGUGGCUGUGCUGCGGGAUGUGUUUCCCAUACAUUUAUUUAUUUUUGGAGACUCCCCACAAUUUUAAAACUGAUCGAACGUUACAUAACGUACUGCAUGUUUAAUAAUAAUAAUUCCUUACAUUUAUGUUUAAAUAUCAAAACGAGGCACGGGUGUUUUUAUAUCGCUGUAUUUCUGAAAGAAGACUUGCAUGUUAUAUGCGUGAUAAAGCAGCGUGUGAGCGUACCAGCUCUGCUUUGUUUACAGCUGUUACUGGGGAAACCUCUAUUUCUCGCGCUUUAUGUCUAUGCUUUAAAACAUCUCCUGCUGGCAAAUAAUGAAUUAGCAUUUUCAUUAAGUCCGCCUGAUCCACACAGAAAACACAUUUUGUUUGUUAUCAAAAAAUAUCUACUUUGUUUAUGUUGAUGCCGUUGAAACCGUAUAUAUAUAUAUAUAUAUAUAUAUAUAAUUAUAUGCCUUUUUUUUAAACAAAUAAAGUCUUAAAAUAGUCAAAUUCUAGUGGAUGACAAACAUGUGACUACUGGCAAAUGCACAGUGUUGUGAAUCCAGUCCCAUAUCAUUCUUCCCGCUCAGCACGAGAGGUCUCCAUCACCUUCUCCUCUCACAAUCCAUUUCCCAUAAUCCCCAACCUAGGAACUGAUUACAGUCACACCUGUUUCCUAUCAGAUUACAGUACACCUGGUCAUUUUAAUGUGUUUUUGCUGAUUAGAUAUCUAUCUGAUUUAUUAAAACAUUUCCAUUUACACUUGGCCACAAAACGGAUAGAAAUACGAUCUUAAUUCCUGCACUAUAUUUAAAUUUAAUUGAGUUCACUUCAACGAAAUCAAAAGAUAAGUGCUGCAUUUUAUUUAUUAUCAGCUCUUUUCAAGUACAAAACCCGCAGUAAGAGAGCGUGCAGCGUAAGCACUGGAAAGAUAGGUUAGUCACAAUACUUUUAAUGAAGAUGAUUGUGUGUUGAGCAUCUUAUUCUCAGUUUUAUUUGUGGCCGUUUGCAUGUCGGCUUGCUGAAGGGAUGUUCAGCUACUUGUCCGUGGCAAUGCGUGUUGCAUUAGCGCUGUCACAUCGGACUAUAAUGCCAUAUAGACUAUAACACACUCUCACAUGUUUAUUAUUUUAACUUUUUAGGAAGAGUAAAAUUUGUUUAUGUGGUUUGCACAACCAGAUGCAUUUACACUUGUCCAGUUUCAUCUGGAAUGCAUCCCAGACCACCUCCUUAAGUGGUUUGUGCGAUCACAUUUAUAUACCAGCAAACAUUUCAACUUUUCAUGACUUUUGAAAAGACAUUCAUGUGUUUGCUAGCCUAUCACUUAUUUUUGUGACUAAAUGCCUGACAUUUAAGCCAAUAAAAUGUAGACUUUAUGAUUGUAUUUAUGCCCAUGUGUGAUGAUAAAUGAGCAUGUUGUGUUUUCGUUUACAAAUGAAACUACGUGAAUUAAUAAUUCCUCAAUGAAACACUAUAAUAAUAAUAAUAUACAAAUAUUACAGGAAAAAGACGAUCAGUUAAUGGACUUACAAGACUGAACGAUAGAUAGAAAAGUUUUCUUGUAGGCAUGUUUUAUAUUAUGCACUUUAUUUAUUAACGUAACAUUUAUUCAUGAUAAACUUCAUUUGAAUGCUGCCCAUCGCAUGUAAUACAGGAAGCCAAUGCCAAUGGUUAAUAUAAUAAUUUAAUGAUGUAAUAACUUCUAAAAAUUAAAUAUGAAUGAAUCAAUCUCCGAUAAUCCCAGAUUGCUAUGGUCAAGCAGGUUUGUUUAAACAUUAUUCAUAAACAUUAAACAUAAUUCAUAGCCACGGGAAAGAUAUGUCAUUCCCUCAACAUAAGAAGUUGUGGCCACAUGCAACGGAUGUCUUUCCCUCAACAUAGAAGCUCGAGGCCACGAUAUAUUAUCACGUUCCAACAAGUUAUGUCAUGGCCACAAUAAAUCCAAAGUUGCGUCCCAAACUGAAACUACAACACAGAAAAAUAUAAAGUUAUAUCAAGACACCCAAAUAAAAAAAAUGUAUAAACAAAAAUAAUCGGUUUAAAGUCUACAUUACAGAUACAAAGAAAAAACAGCAACUAAAUGUCAAUAAUCCAAAAGGGAGUAUGAGAUCACUUUUCAAAUAAAUUCAGCUCUUUCAAAUACAUUUGUAUCUUUACAUUUUUUUUAAACUAUCAAUAAACUGAAGAGAAUCCAUAUAUGAAUGUACAUCAACCAUAAAAACCUUCAAACAAGGUUUAGAAUUAUUUAUUUUACUUUUAUGGAUAUGAAACCUACCAAAUAAAAUCAUAAGAUUCAGCAUAAAGUCAACUGUUUGAUUCAGAAUAAAAUAAAAUAAUAAGUCAAAUCACAACUAUAACCAGUUUUUCUCUUGGACAUACAAUGAUAAGUCUCCUCAAAACGUUUUUGAAUGGUAACAUUCAUUAAAAAUAUGUACCAACAAAACUGAUGCAAAAUUGUGGUGAUCUCAGUGGGAGAUCAAAUCUGUUUUUGUCAUGCUUCUCACCAUUUGGCGGGUUCUUUUAAAUAUUCUUUUAAAUAACGUCAACGUCGCUUGAUUGUGCCAUCCCAAAAAAGCACAAAGUCACUUUUACAGACUUUUAAAUUAAAUGUUACCUCCUGGCGGAAUGACCUUAGCCAUCUUUAAGAUUUGGCUUAAAACCCAUCUCUUCCCUCUUUAUUUGACCCUCUAACUUUAACACUCACUAUUCUAAUUCUAUUCUUUAAAAAAUCUAACUACCUUUCUAAUCUUUUUGUAUUCUAUUUUCUUUUCAUUUACUAUGCAAUUGUAUAUGUAUGUGCGUGUGUAUGUGUAAAGACCUCUAACUAGCUUGCUCUAUUCUUUUAUUUUUUUUAUUCUAUCUGUUUUCUUUUAAUUUAUUAUAUUAGUUAAAAACCCAUGCUACGUGUACUGUGUUAACCUAACUGAGACUUGUUAUAGCACUUAUAUAUCAUUGCUCUUUUUGUUGUUUUUGAUUGCUUCCACUGUCUUCAUCUGUAAGUCGCUUUGGAUAAAAGCGUCUGCUAAAUGAAUAAAUGUAAAUGUAAAUGUAAAAAAGUUUAAAGGUGACAUUCUAUAAUCAGGUAGUUCAACAGAAGGGAAAUGGAGAUGGAGGUGGAAACAAACUAAUUUCUGUAGUUUAUUUUUGUGAUGCAAAAAUUAAAUGAAUGAUUUGUAUUCAUUUUUUUUGUAGUGUAAUUUAUUUGUAAAUGAGCCUGAGUACAUUCUGUACUUAUAUUGGCAUGUACAUAAAAGAGAAGUACUCCAGGGCGAGCAGCCAACAGCCACAAGUCAGGGAAGUGAAAACUGGGAAAGAGAGAAAAAGAGAAACUGUUAAGAGCUAUGACAAAGUACUUAGUAGAAGAAAUAUUGAUGUACUUUAGUAAACUACUUUUAGUAACUAUUAACACCACAUUGGGGAAAAACUACUAGUCAUAUUUAAAUAUUAACUUGGGAAUAGUUCACCCAAAAAUGAAAAUUCCAAACAACUUAGGGGUUAAUAAAUGAUUACAGAAUUUUAAUUUUUAGCUUAACUAUCCUUUAAGUAAAAAGUAUUAUAUUCCAUAAUCUAAUGUAGGCUACGUAAGGUAUAAGUAUAUUAGAGUGAAAGUAUGUACAAUAUUGUUAUGAAAAAGAUCAUAUGUAGCCUAAUGUACUUAUUUUUUACAGUGUACCGAAUAUUUAUAAGUUUAAAAAAAUAAAAAUAAAUAACCCAUAUAGUUUUUAGAGUACAUCUAUUUUUUUAUUAUGCACAACCGUUAAUCAUAGCAGUGAGUGUUUACUUAUCAAAAUUGACUGCUUAAAAAAAUUAGCCUAUUAUAAUUUUUUUAUAUUUCUAUUUUUGUAAUGCAGAAGUGCAAUUCAUGACUCUUUUAAGUAAAAUAUUUUUUACAAGGGUAAUUAAUAAUAAAUGAAAGCAUUAAGCUAAACAUCUUUUUUUUAAAUAUUUGUAAUUUCUAACCACUUUACAAUCUUAGAAAAACAUUAAGCAUCAGAGCCCCAUCUAUAUUUAUAAAUAGUCAUUAGUAAUCAAAUUAAUAUUCAGUAAUUAAAUAUCAUAGCUUUUGCUUAUAUUCAAAAUUGACUAUGCUUCAUUUUCAUUGGUUUCCCUAAGGAAAAAUGGCAAGCUUUUAAAAACAAACAACAUGCAAACUCUUGUGUUUCCUUAUUAACCCUUGCAUUUUAUAAAAUGACUACUGCUGAUGAUGUCCAUACUGUCCCUAAAAAUGGAGCUGAGUGGUGUGAAAUUAAACAUCUUCCAAAACAAGCAAACAAACAAAACAUCCUAUACAUAUGUAUGAUACUGAUUUUAUUAGGUAUAAAAGUCAUAUAAAAUGUGCUAAGGAGACUUUCUCUUUAAUUUCCCUAGCUUUCACUUUCUGAGAAGUCCACACCCCGAAAGUGAAUCGGCUCUUACGUCAGACGUCUCACUCUGCUCAACACAACAGUUGAAUCGACGGCAGUUUCCUGUCUUGCAGACAUUAUCCUGAGAGAUAAAAG